rnacentral:rRNA from 1 species
AUUGAACGCUGGCGGCAUGCUUUACACAUGCAAGUCGAACGGUAACAGGGAGCUUGCUCCGCUGACGAGUGGCGAACGGGUGAGUAAUGCGUCGGAACGUGCCGAGUAGUGGGGGAUAACGCAGCGAAAGUUGUGCUAAUACCGCAUACGUACUGAGGUAGAAAGUGGGGGACCUUCGGGCCUCACGCUAUUCGAGCGGCCGACGUCUGAUUAGCUAGUAGGUGAGGUAAAGGCUCACCUAGGCGACGAUCAGUAGCGGGUCUGAGAGGAUGAUCGGCCACACUGGGACUGAGACACGGCCCAGACUCCUACGGGAGGCAGCAGUGGGGAAUUUUGGACAAUGGGCGAACGCCUGAUCCAGCCAUGCCGCGUGUCUGAAGAAGGCCUUCGGGUUGUAAAGGACUUUUGUCCGGGAGCAAAUGCUGGUGGCUAACAUCCACCGGAGCUGAGAGUACCGGAAGAAUAAGCACCGGCUAACUACGUGCCAGCCGCCGCGGUAAAAC